rnacentral:rRNA from 1 species
UAGUCCACGCCGUAAACGAUGGACACUUGGUGUUGGAGGUAUUGACCCCUUCAGUGCCGGAGCUAACGCGUUAAGUGUCCCGCCUGGGGAGUACGGUCGCAAGAUUAAAAACUCAAAGAAAUUGACGGGGGCCCGCACAAGCGGUGGAGCAUGUGGUUUAAUUCGAUGCAACGCGCAAAACCUUACCUAGGUUUGACAUAUACUGGAAGUUCUCAGAGAUGAGGAUGCCUUCGGGCCGGUAUACAGGUGCUGCAUGGCUGUCGUCAGCUCGUGUCGUGAGAUGUUGGGUUAAGUCCCGCAACGAGCGCAACCCUUAUCUUUAGUUGCCAGCAUUUAGUUGGGCACUCUAGAGAGACUGCCGACGUUAAGUCGGAGGAAGGUGGGGAUGACGUCAAGUCCUCAUGGCCCUUACGGGUAGGGCUACACACGUGCUACAAUGGCGCUGACAGAGGGUUAAUCCCUAAAAGGCGUCUCAGUUCGGAUUGUCCUCUGCAACUCGAGGGCAUG